rnacentral:lncRNA from 1 species
AUGGAGGUUCUUCUUUGGACUCAUGAGAGAACACGUUGUUGGUCACCUUCCUAUUACAUCGAAGGAUGGGUCAACAGUGGAGGAAACUCUAUAGCUCUGUUAGUCGCCUCCUUCCUGGGGUUGGUCUUCUCCAUCUGUUUGUCUGCAUUUGGUACCAAAGCUCUCCAUCAUGGCCCAGAUCAGCCACCCCUCGUCCUGACCAACCAGGCACCUCAACCAGCCUCAGAGACCGCGUCCCAGGCCCCGCCCCCUUCAAACAACAACAACUAUGAGACACUGAAGCCUCAGGAGUACGACACCACCAUCGCCAUCCGAGCUGCACACGUCCAGAACCAGCAGAACCUGGAGCUCAUCAAUAGAACUUAGACUUCUGACCUGAUUUUAAAAAGUUUUUUAUUUUGUUGAAUGUGAAUUAUUUUAGCUGCACAGAUUUAUUUUGCUGUUGUUUGUGUUCUACUUAUAGGUGGAGCGUUAAAUGAGUCAAUAAUGAAGUCUGUCCAGGCUUCACGAGCUCAAUGUUCGGUUCGGUUUUACUUAUUGAUCAUUGAUUUCACAAUGUGUGAAACUCACCUCUGAGCUCUCCUGCUGCCCGUCACAGUCUGUGGUCGGUUCUGGUCGGCCAUGUUUGUUUUCUCAGAAUAAAAGAAAAU